CCUUUCUGCCCUCUGCCAUGUGAGGUCACAGUGUUCCUCCCUCCUGAGGAUGCAGUGUUCAUGAAAGCAAACACUGGGCCCUCACCAGGCAACAAACCUGCUGGUGCCUUCAUCUUGGACUUCCCAGCCUUCGGAACUAUGGAGCCCGCACUCUCCAGUUCAUCACCACCCCAGCAUCCCUACUCUUGCAUCUAACAGUUUCCGCUAUUUUGCACCACCUGCCUGGCCCUUAUGGGCAACUCAAGGAAGAAAGGAAAGAAGAGAUAGAGGAAAAAUGGAUUCAACAAAUGAAAGUGUUCUUUCUGACUACUGCUGUGUUUACAAACAUUUUAAUCAUCAAAACAUGCUUUAUUUGAUAGAAAGAUCAAAUCUGCCUUUGUAAAACAAGAGACUAUUUUAAUCAUUAAGACAACACACAUGUUUGAUUUGGAGGCGUGUUCUCAUUCAAAACCUUGCAAAAUAUAAUUUCUUCUUGUCUGGGAGAUGGUGUCUUUCUUCGGGGAGAACCUUGAGAGAAAUGUCUAUGAAUGUGUCUGUAGAUUGAGGAUAGGCCGUUAAGAAGCUCCACUGCGCUUUGUCCAUUGCAAGUUGAGAAGUGAGGCCCCAGCUGUCACAUACAGCUCCAUCACAAGAGGGAGCCCCAUUGCUAGUCCCCAUCCUCAAAGCCUCUGCGUGAUGUUGUCUACUGUUACUCUUCACUACCCUGUGGGAGCCAAAGCCCUGGACAUAAGAACAGAAGGCAGUGGUGGCUGAGAGGAAGAACUGACACCUUUGUGCUAUCAGAGCACUUUGCAGAGGAGCUGUUAGUGGCCCUGUAGGAGUCUGCUGGCCAUACAUCUGGGUGUCAAAUCAAGAGAGCAUGAGAAGUUGGACAGGAAAGGUCCAAGGCAAAAUGGUUACUAAAGGCCAUCCCUGAUCCUGACCCUAAAAGAAGAAAAGGCCCUUUGCUCUUGGCAUGCUUUUGCAGGAGUGUCUCAGUCUGUUUGGGCUGCUAUAACAUUGACUGGGUGAUCUGCCUGCCUGGCCUCCCAAAGUGCUGGGGUUACAGGUGUGAGCCGCUGCACCAGGCCUUGAGGUCAGGAGUUCGAGACCAGCCUGGCCAACAUGGUGAAACCUGUCUUUACUAAAAAUACAGAAAUUAGCCAGGCAUGGAGGCGCAUGCCUGUAAUCCCAGCUACUGGGGAGGCUGAGGCAGGAGAAUCGCUUGAACCCAGAAGGUGGAGGUUGCGGUGAGCCCAGAUAGUGCCAUUGCACUCUAGCCUGGCCAACAAGAGUGAAACUCUGUCUCAAAAAAUAAAUAAACAAACAAACAAACAACAAC
rnacentral:lncRNA from 1 species